ACGCCGAUGCUGAAACAGUUAUCAUGCUUGCCUUCCAUAGUACUUUAUGACUGCUGAGCAAGCGGUAGGGGUUCGACUCCCUUUUGGCGUA